rnacentral:misc_RNA from 1 species
GGACUACUCGGGUUCUAAUCCUGUUUGCUCCCCACGCUUUCGCACCUCAGCGUCAGUAUCGAGCCAGUGAGCCGCCUUCGCCACUGGUGUUCCUCCGAAUAUCUACGAAUUUCACCUCUACACUCGGAAUUCCACUCACCUCUCUCGAACUCCAGAUCGCCAGUAUGAAAGGCCGUUCCGGGGUUGAGCCCCGGGAUUUCACCCCUCACUUAACGAUCCGCCUACGUGCGCUUUACGCCCAGUAAUUCCGAACAACGCUAGCCCCCUUCGUAUUACCGCGGCGGCUGGCA